UCAUCACUUUAAUAGUACAAAGGAGAAAAAGCUUAUGAUAACCUCUAGAUGCAAAAAAAAAGUUUUUUGAGAAAAUUCACUACAUACAAUACAAAUUCUUGGUAAUAAUUAGAAAGAAACUUCUUUAACAUGCUAGAGUGUCUAUACAUUUAUAUGUAUAUUUUUAUCAUAUCUAUAAUGUUAUAAAGACCUAGGAAAAAUGUCAUUAUAAAUGAGGAAAUGUUAAAAAUAGUCCCUUUAAAAUCAGGAACUCAACAAUAAUACCCAACACUUUGUAGGAGGUUCUAGCCAGUACAAUAUGACAAGACAAAGAAAUUACAGACAACGAGAUUGGAACAGAAGACAUAAAGCUAUUUGCACAUGAUAUGGAAUUACUCACAUAGAAAAUUCAGAAGAAUAUACAUACAAAUUUUUAGAAAUAAUGAGUUUAGAAGUGUGGCAGUAUAGAAAAUUUAAAUAUAAACGUAAGCUGCAUUCUGUAUACCAGCAGCAGCAAUGAUACGGAGAGAUGACACCAUGUACGGUAUGAUCAGGAUAUCAAAGAACGAAGAAUAAGUCUAAUAAAAGAUGUAUAUAACCUCUACUGGGAAAGUAUAAAAUUUAAAGAAGACAUAAAGUAAAUGGAGAAGUAUAUCAUGUUCAUGGGUAGGAAGAUAUUAUUAUUUCAUUAAUUUGUCAAUUUCCCCCAAAUUGAUCUAGGGAUUCAAUGCAAAUCCAACCAAAAUCUCAAUAGGAUUAGCUGUGGAACUUGAUGAAAGCAAUUGCGACAUUUAUAUAGAAGGGAAUGAGUCCAAGAAGGACCAGAACCCUUAUCUAGAGAGAGGCAACUUGCCCCCCAGAUGUGAAGACAGUGUGGAACUGGAACAGGGGUGCAAAAUCACCUGUGGAAUAGAAUAGAGACUCCAGAGACCGACCGAUACAGGUCUGCAACUUGUAUGGAAGCAUAAGGGGUCAAGAGCAGCCAAGUCAUUUCCAAGGAAGAAAAACAAGAUUGUGGGACUUGCCUGAUCAGCAUAAAGAUGUCCUACAAAGCUACAGUGACGAAGACAUCGUGGCAUUGGCCCAGGGCAGAUGAACAGACCAACGAAGUGGACCAGGAAGUCCAGAGACACCGUAUAUGCCAUGGGUGGGGGAGGGGCUUCCCACAGUUGGGUACCGCUGUAACACUGUGAUAGGACCUCUGUCACACCACAUGCAAAUUAAUUCCAGGAGCAUUAAAGACUGAAAUGUAGGAGCAACGGCAGUGCUUAUAGAAGAAGCCACUGGAGAUUAUUUUCAUGACCUCAGGGACUGAAAUUUGGCCACAGAGACCCAGAGAAAGAACACCAUGUGAAGACAGGGCAGAGCCUGGGGUGACAAAUCUACAAGCCAAGGGACACCGGGGAUGGCCAUCAGCCACCGGAAGCUGGAAGAGACAAGGAAGGAUUGCUCCCCCAUAGCCUUGGGGAGCACGGCCCUGCCAACACCUUGAUUCCAGACUUCGGGCUCCAGAACUUUAAAGAUGCCUGUCGAAAGCCGCACAGUGUGGUAGGAAAAGUACACUGUGUUUUCAUAACAGCAAAAAAUCUGGAAAUCGUCUUCACAGAGCAAGCUGCUGAGCGGUACGGCUGACCAGCCUCCGAGACAGACUGGACACGAGGCGAGGAGAGAGGACGGGCUGGGGAUGUCCUCCGAGGGCACUGCCAGCUCUGAAAGCACGUGAUCCUGCAGCCCAAGCCCAGAGCCCACAACUCUGGAGGCAGUCCACGCAUCUUCAUCCAACAAACAUUUCCUGAGCCUGGCUAUGUGCCAGGCACAGUCCCAGGCGCUGCGGCGAGCGUGAGAACAGCAGAAAGCGCUCUGCCAUUAGGGACCCACGCUCUAGGAGAGAUAGACAAGCA